rnacentral:rRNA from 1 species
AGAGUUUGAUCCUGGCUCAGGACGAACGCUGGCGGCGUGCCUAACACAUGCAAGUCGAACGGAGUUGAUUCUUCGGGAUUAACUUAGUGGCGAACGGGUGAGUAACGCGUGAGAAACCUGCCUUUCAGUGGGGGACAACAGUUGGAAACGACUGCUAAUACCGCAUAAUGUUAUUUGGGGGCAUCCCUGGAUAACCAAAGAUUUAUUGCUGAAAGAUGGUCUCGCGUCUGAUUAGCUAGUUGGUGAGGUAACGGCUCACCAAGGCGACGAUCAGUAGCCGGUCUGAGAGGAUGAACGGCCACAUUGGGACUGAGAUACGGCCCAGACUCCUACGGGAGGCAGCAGUGGGGAAUAUUGGGCAAUGGGGGAAACCCUGACCCAGCAACGCCGCGUGAAGGAAGAAGGCCUUCGGGUUGUAAACUUCUUUUACCAGGGACGAACACAAUGACGGUACCUGGAGAAAAAGCAACGGCUAACUACGUGCCAGCAGCCGCGGUAAUACGUAGGUUGCAAGCGUUGUCCGGAUUUACUGGGUGUAAAGGGCGUGUAGGCGGAGAUGCAAGUUGGGAGUGAAAUCCCGGGGCUCAACCCCGGAACUGCUUUCAAAACUGCAUCCCUUGAGUAUCGGAGAGGCAAGCGGAAUUCCUAGUGUAGCGGUGAAAUGCGUAGAUAUUAGGAGGAACACCAGUGGCGAAGGCGGCUUGCUGGACGACAACUGACGCUGAGGCGCGAAAGCGUGGGGAGCAAACAGGAUUAGAUACCCUGGUAGUCCACGCUGUAAACGAUGAUUACUAGGUGUGGGUGGACUGACCCCAUCUGUGCCGGAGUUAACACAAUAAGUAAUCCACCUGGGGAGUACGACCGCAAGGUUGAAACUCAAAGGAAUUGACGGGGGCCCGCACAAGCAGUGGAGUAUGUGGUUUAAUUCGACGCAACGCGAAGAACCUUACCAGGAUUUGACAUCCCGAGAACCCGACGUAAUGGUUGGGGUGCUCUUCGGAGAAUUCGGAGACAGGUGGUGCAUGGUUGUCGUCAGCUCGUGUCGUGAGAUGUUGGGUUAAGUCCCGCAACGAGCGCAACCCUUACGUUUAGUUGCUACGCAAGAGCACUCUAGACGGACUGCCGUUGACAAAACGGAGGAAGGCGGGGAUGACGUCAAAUCAUCAUGCCCCUUACAUUCUGGGCUACACACGUACUACAAUGGCGAAAACAAAGGGAAGCAAUACCGCGAGGUGGAGCAAACCCCAUAAAAGUCGUCCCAGUUCGGACUGCAGGCUGCAACCCGCCUGCACGAAGUUGGAAUUGCUAGUAAUCGCGGAUCAGCAUGCCGCGGUGAAUAUGUUCCCGGGCUUUGCACACACCGCCCGUCA